rnacentral:rRNA from 1 species
AUAUCAGUCAUGCAUAGCAUAUCAAUAAGCGGAGGAAAAGAAACUAACAAGGAUUCCCUUAGUAACGGCGAGUGAAGCGGGAAGAGCUCAAAUUUGAAAUCUUCAUGGUUCUACCUUGACGAAUUGUAGUUUAUAGAAGUGUUUUCUGUUAGUAGAGUGGCAAAAGUUCUUUGGAAUAGGACAUCAUAGAGGGUGAGAAUCCCGUAUUUGGUCAUUCUUUCUAGCUUUGUGAUACACUUUCAACGAGUCGGAUUGUUUGGGAAUGCAGUCCAAAAUGGGUGGUAAAUUUCAUCUAAAGCUAAAUAUUGGCGUGAGACCGAUAGCGAACAAGUACCGUGAGGGAAAGAUGAAAAGAACUUUGAAAAGAGAGUUAAACAGUACGUGAAAUUGUCAAAAGGGAAGCGUUUGACACCAGUGUUGUUUUUCCGAAAAUCAAUUACGAAUGUUUUGUUUUUGAGAAGUUAUGACUUCAUCGGCUUGCUUCUCUCUUUACUGAAACUUUCUUAAUGCACUUUUCGGUUAACAAGUCAACAUCAAUUUCUUUUGUUGUAAAAGGGUAUGAGGAAGGUGGCUUUCUUUUCGGAGAAAGUGUUUAUAGCCUUGUACCUCUGCAAUCGGAGAGAUUGAGGUCUGCAGCGUAGAUCCUUCGGGGUUAGAUACAUUUGUGCUAAGUUAUAGCUUUUCAUAGACAACUUGUUGACUAUGUUAAGUCUUGUAGCUUACUCGCUUAGUGCUAUUUUACCUACGCUUAGGAUGUUGACGAUCAGCUGAGCGCG